UAUAUAUAACGUUAAGUCACUGUUUUCCAAAGAGGAUUGUAUUAUAAUACAUAAUUAUAUACGGAAUAAUUUAUACACGGAAAUGUCGCCGGUGCAUUAUUCUAACCUUAGAUACAUUACAGAGUGGAGUGCAUUGUCAAUAAUAAGUUUGUAAAGUCCAGAGGCCCUUGGUCUAUUCGUAAUUGGUCUCUGGUGAGAACCAAUCUGUUUGCAAUGUCGCCUAGUAUGGAAAUAUCUGAGUACCAACGGCACCCACUUGUGAUUAUUACAAGUUGCCUAUCUAUCGGCACUUUUCUUUGAUGUUCGUUUCUUUAUUUCUCUUCAACACUUUACACCAAGUCAACCAUAACAUUUUUGUCAUACAAAAAAUGCGACAAUUAUAUUUUUUUUUAAAUUUCAACGUACCCAAUAGAUUGUGUUCAACCCAAGUGGCUUGAAUUCGCGAAGCGAUUAGUAUUAGACUAAGAAUAGUAGCCAGUAACUAUAUAUAUACAUAUAUAUAUACAUACGACACAAAAUACGCUGCCUCUGUGCUCCGUGCAUAAAAUGCAACCUAGACAAACUAUUUAUGUCGCAGAACUAAAUGACUUUUGACAACUCGCGUAACUAUCGUACGAGUGUUUGUGAAUUCACAAGGAGAAAAACAGUGCAGAAUGAACCUUUGAUAACGGUAGAUAAAUUCAAUCCUGUUAUACGUAAGAAAUUAUUGAAUAUGUCAUAGGCGUGCAUCGCGUCUUUAGUCUGACCGAAUUAGAGUAUCUACACAGCUAAUAGCGUCUUCCUGAUGGUGUAGCUGACGCGGCACUGAGACUGACGUUAUGAUGCCGGAAGGGUCAUCAACAUCCAUAAUACAGCUUUAGGCCUCAAUACCUACGUGUGUAAAAAAACGGACGUUGGUUCUUUCAUUGAAAGUGAUUAGGAAGUGAGAUGUAGAGUGUUACUGUAUAGUUAGAGUAGAGACAAUUUUUCUAUUGAAUGUGAUUAGGACGUCCCCCCUAGUUGUACUAUGAUAUACUACUAUUUGCCGACUGGAUACAUUGCGAAUUCUUUCAACGCUCUAUGCUGCGGUUUGUAUUUCUUUUUAUUAAGUAUAUUACUUGUUGUCCGUAAUGAUGGUUUUGUGAAUCCGCACGAUGUUAAUAUUAUAGAUCAGAUUAAUCGAACAUUUCAGGCUCGUAAGACUAUUGAUAUAGGUUAGGUUUAGGUUAUGCACGAAACUUGACAGCUGUGCGCGUAUGGUUGCGAGGGAUCAUUUGUUGAAUACGAAUGUGCAGGUGGUAGAAAUUCGAAAGGUUAUUCUGUUAUAUGACGUAUGUUACGUAGCUUAUUGAUUACAUAGGUAACUCAAUAUAUUUUUUUAUGAUGACCACUGAUAUUUAUGAUAACAAACCUAUAAUUAGUAUUUAAUUAAUUCUAGAUUGCUCUUGCACUGAUUGUGUAAGAUAUUUAAACUGUCUUAAAUGGUACGUAUAAAUCAUUUGUUAUGACACUGAAAUAUCAAACUUGAAAUAGGCGGAGGAGGUCAGGCGCAUUAACAGACGGUUAAUACGUAAUCAGUAUUCAAUUCGAUUUAAUUAAUUUAUUAAUUUCUUUUUUUUUUAGUGGCACAAGGCUUCAGCCGAUUCAGCCUUGUGCCGUCGAAAUUGAUUUCUUGAUCUAAGAGUUUCUGGGUGGCGUUUAGAUUGACAUUGAUUUCCAUCAUAAAGGAUGAUCUGGACAUGAUGAUACAGACAGGAGGACGUGUCAUAAUACACAACAUGCUGUUCAUAUAACAUCCUGCAUCCCGGGACACUCCUAUCACUCACCAGCCUAAUAAGCAUUCAUCGGAUUCAUGAUUCUUAUCCGUGAUCUCAGGAGAGUUUGGAUUUUUCCGAGGGACACUAUCAAUUAGUACUGUACGAUUAAAUCAGGAUUAAAUCAGUACAGCUCAAAGAAAAGCAAUUCCUUCUACGUACGCCACAAGUAGUAGCGACAAGACGAUCAGAGUUCCUGAAAAGGAAAUAAUAAAAUGUUGGACAGUUGAAUCCUACUAAGAGCUGUGACUGCCUGCAGUGUCUGAAACCUGUGAUCCAACGAGCAGAUCUAUUAGAGAUUGGCCCAGUUAUUGAUCGGAUUCUUCAUUAAAAAUUUGAUUGGUCAUUCAAUUGAAUUUUUUUUUUAAUCCACAACUCACAGGAACUCAUGUAGAAUUUGAUGUAGAUGGAGCUUGAAGAACCCUAUAUGUCUUCUGUUCUAUAGGAUUUAUGUUGGUUGUCAUUGUUGACACGUUUACAUGGGAAUAGGAUUGAACGACCCUCCCAAAGAAAGGACUUCUUUCCGCGAAUUAAUCGAUAUCUCCUUUAACAAUGAAACGUGCGGUAACGGAUUCUAUUGAUUUGUAAGAGGAGUCGAUACCAAGGUGAACAACAAUCUCAUAUUCUUUUUCGAAUGUCUUUUUUUUUAAUUCUUUCAUAUAUCGUUCACGCUACCCACUUACUCUUGUCAUUUUUUACCGUUUUAUAGAAAUUGCAGCGUAUUAAAUACAUGUUAGGGUUGGUCGUGGUAACACGUCCAUGACGUAACCGUAUCGGAUUCACGAUAAACGAAUUUAAUGCUGCGAGAAACUUUUUUUGUUCGACCUUAUAUUUAACAACUGUCAGACAAUUUGAGGUUUGAAUGUGCACGAGUAUUCUUGUUUGGGGACCAAAUUUUUUUAUACGUUUUCUGGCGCAGUUAACAUUUGCAUACUUGAAAGACAGAGAGUUAAGGGUGCCAUUUUCAUGGACAAUGAUUAUGUAGAAUGGAGUAGGUGUGUCUUAUUGUUUUUUUUUAUUAUCCUCCCGCGACUUAUAAAAGGGCACGUAAAUUCUUGCAGAAAUGUCAAAAAGUGACCUUAAAUUGACGCCUUUGUUUCUGCGUCGUGACACCUUGACUCGUUACUUUGACAUCCUUUUGUUGCAUCGAUUGAGUCAUUAAGAUCAAUAUCUUUCACCGUUGCGAUAUUCAGGUGGGAAAUUACAUAGUUUUUGCUAAUGUCUCAAAGGUAUGACUUUCGUAAUGGAAGCCUUCCUUCCAAUUGUCCUUGACGAUACUAACUGCACAAUUGAACAGAGGAUCAUAAAGUAUUGAUCUAUGCAUAUCAUCUAUAUGCAUAUUCAUUUUAGUUGAUGUAACAAGUAUGUUACAAUUUUGAAAAAUCGUACUAAGAAUUGCAUCUGUUAGUAGUACGUUAUAAAUAAUGAAAUUACAAUUUGUAUCUGAUUAGCCUGAAUUGUAUCUAUUUAUUCUAUCUAUAUCUAAUUUUAAUGUCUUAUCGAUAAGAUUAAAUUGUCGUUAUGUUAAAAUAGACGUUUGCUGAUAGACUGGAUUGCUACCUCACUUACAGUAUCUAGAGUAUAAUAAAACACUUUAUAUUUAUAGCCUGA